GGGCUCGUAGCUCAGCUGGUUAGAGCAUCCGGCUGAUAACCGGAAGGUCGGAGGUUCGAGUCCUCUUGAGCCCA
rnacentral:tRNA from 1 species